GACGAACGCUGGCGGCGUGCUUAACACAUGCAAGUCGAACGGAAAGGCCUCUUUCGGGGGGUACUCGAGUGGCGAACGGGUGAGUAACACGUGAGUAACCUGCCCUUGACUUUGGGAUAACUUCAGGAAACUGGGGCUAAUACCGGAUAGGAGCUCCUGCUGCAUGGUGGGGGUUGGAAAGUUUCGGCGGUUGGGGAUGGACUCGCGGCUUAUCAGCUUGUUGGUGGGGUAGUGGCUUACCAAGGCUUUGACGGGUAGCCGGCCUGAGAGGGUGGCCGGCCAAAUGGGUAAUAGUGGAGGGCCAAGCCGCCAGGGGGGGGAAGUGGGGGGAAGUAUUCCAAAAGGGGGGGGAGCCAGAGACAACAACCCCGGGUGCGGGAAACCGGCUUUGGUGUUGAAAACCGUUUUCGCUCAUACUAAGGCUUUGUGUGGGGGUGGUGGGUAAAAAAGCACGGGUUAAUUAGGU
rnacentral:rRNA from 1 species